rnacentral:rRNA from 1 species
UACCAGCACCCCGAGUGGUCGGGACGAUUAUUGGGCCUAAAGCAUCCGUAGCCGGUUUUACAAGUCCCCCGUUAAAUCCAGCUGCUUAACAGAUGGGCUGCGGAGGAUACUAUAAGACUAGGAGGCAGGAGAGGCAAGCGGUACUCAGUGGGUAGGGGUAAAAUCCGUUGAUCCAUUGAAGACCACCAGUGGCGAAGGCGGCUUGCCGGAACGCGCUCGACGGUGAGGGAUGAAAGCUGGGGGAGCAAACCGG